GCUUUCACGUGUUCUGCACGACAAACAGAAAGUUAGCUUGGAAAUUAGAAAUUAAAGUCAGUUUUUUAUAGUGUCGUGAAAAAAAAGUUUUUGCUCCCUUACAGGUUUCUUGGUUUUGGCUUUUUUUUGUUUUGUUAUACUUACAGUUGUCGUGACAGUUUGGAAUGAGGCAGAUAAUCUGUGAAAAAAUUGAGUUCCUAUGCCUUUUCCCAGAGCUCCCAGGGACCAAAAACAACCAAUCAGAACAAGGAGCAGGGUCUUUGUGCUGUGAAUCACAUAUCUGUGUAGCGCUGCUUAUCCCUUCGUUUCCCACUCCCCUUGCUCUCUGUUACGCCACAGCUAGCACAGCCUCUCAUGAAUGCUAAGGCUAGUGAUCAUGGCCACCAACAACGGCAGAUAAAUAGUUUUCUUGUAACAGUAAGUUGUUUCUUUGCCAUUAUCACAUUUGGCAAGUGCAUUCAUGAGGUUGACUGACAGCUCUAAGCCCCUCCUCCUGGCUCUGAUUGGCUGAUUUUGCUCAGGAGCGGUGCAUUUCUCCAGACAGCUACAGCAGCUCAGAAAGGAAGUGGAGCAGAUCAAAAUUUUCCCAGAUUGCUUCUCGUAUUAUACUGUCACUGGAGACAGCUUUAACAAAUAUAUAAAAACAUGUUUGUUUGUUUGUUUGUUUGUUUGUUUCUUUCUUUCUUUUUACAAAAAAGUAACAUAGUGCACCUUUAACUUUGUCAGGUUAGCAAAAUAAUUUUCCAGCACAGAGUAAUUAAAUACCUCCCUCAGCGGGCGACGACUGGCGUCAGGUGUUUGGGAUAAGUGACUAUCACUGUUUUGCAGAGGAAUUUUGAGCCAUUAAGCAGAAUGGUUUUAAUUCAGUCCCACUGGAGGGUUUCCUAGCAAUAGCAGCUUGUUUGGGUUAGGCUGCAGCAUCUCAAUCUCAUUUUAGUCAGAACUUUAAGUAGGCCAUUUGAAAGCCACUUGGGUUUUGUGGAGACAUUAUGGGGUGAAAUUGCUGCUGCUCUUUGGAUAAUUAUCCUGCUGUAUGCAUAGCAUAAGCUUGAGCUCUAAGUCAAAAACUGAUAGCUUGAUAUGCUUAUUCUGAAUUUUCUGCCACAGUGCAGAACUCAUGCUUCCAUCAUUCAAAGGAAAUGGUCCAGGUCCUAAGCUGUUUGUUUUGCUACAAUGUUCAAAUUUUUAAAUAUUGGUAGUUUUACACACAUUCCAAAAAGGUAACUGAACGUUACAUCAUUUUUAUUUUAUUUUUUUUUUUUACCUUUUUAGCCUUAAUAGACAAAAUCAUGUUUGAAAACUUAUUUUGUUUUUUCCUCAGAAUAUCUUUGUCUGAUAUCAGAUUUUUUUAGUUGAUCUGAAACAUUUAAGUAUAUGAAAAAAAAAUUAAGGGGAACAUUUUUUUUCACAGCGUUUUUUCACAGAACACCAAUACACGCCUUAAAUUUCAUUCCAUGCAGUCAAAUGCAAUCCUAAUUAUGAUGUAAUACAAUAAAAUGUAGCUUUUAAUUUCAUAUUAAGAUUUGUCAUGUGUCCAAGGAAGUCCAGCUGAUUACAUCUCUGACUUUGUAGCAAUCUCUCCUCCUGAGUAAGCUUAUGGCUACAGUGGACUGAUGAGUGGUUGACUUUGCAACAUUCCCUCAAAUGGAUAAAAAUACAUCAUAGCACAGAAAAAUAAAUAAAUAAUAAUAAUAACAACAAUAAUAAUAAUAAUAAUAAUAAUAAUAAUAAUAAUAAUAAUAAUAAUAAUAAUAAUAAUAAUAAUAAUAAUAAUAAUAAUAAACCCUUUCAGAUUUGUUGAGGUUAAGUGCAGUCAAUUCCUACAGGAGAAUGAACCAUGGAGGUAAGAUGAAUCACAAAACUGAAGAUGACAUUAGACAAAAUUUAUGAGGAGCAUGGUGCAACCUACAACCCUGGUAUUUCCUACUGACGCUGCUGCAAGAGGGACAGCAAUUCUUUUGAAUCAGUUCUACUCAGAAAUGUUAGUUCUAAUUGGAAAACUGUCCAAAGCCGAAGUCUAGUUAGUCAGUUGUAGAUAUGGCAAUAUUUAUCAUAACAUAUGCAACCAAAUAUUUUGUCAUGUUUUUCAAAGAUUUUAUUUUAUAAAGCAGAAUCACAGAAUGACACUUUUAUGAUUUUAAACAGUGACAAAGUCUGUCAUGCUAACUGGACUCAUUUAGCUAGCGAUAAUUUAACAAACGUAAUCUCUCAAAAAAGUGAAAACAGUUUUCAAGCAGUCAUGUUAACGUCAAAUAUCAUACCAACUAUUUUUUAGUAAAGCAAUAACACAUGACUCAUACUUUUUGUGUUUCCGCGAAGCUAAGUGUAGGGGUCAACACAUGUUCCACUGAGUUUUAAACUAACUGUAAAAAUAAUUCAGGUUUGGCUUGUGCAAAGGGAGCAAAAACAAAACUAAUACAACAAUGGGUUUCUACAACUAUCCCAAAAAUAUUUUGGUCCCGUCUGUUUGUCUUUUCUACAGAAUCAGUGUUGCCAUCAUCUCACUAGCCAUCUGCAUGACAUUACGAUGAAACACUGUAGGAAAGAGAAAGGAAGUCAAUAAGAGAAACAUAAAGAAUGCUAAUGCUUUAUUAGAGCCUGGGAUCUUUAAAAGUGAUCCAAAAGAAACACUAUGGCAGAGUUUUUAUUUACUUUCUCAUUCAUUCAUUUUUUUAAUUUUUUUUUUAGUCUUUUUGGUUAGCUUUCUUAAACCUAGUUUAGUUUAAGCCUACAAUCUCAAAUAACCAAAUAAACAACAAUAAAAUUGAGCUUAUUUAUUUUAGUGCAGUAAUUUAUUUUAGAUUUAAAAAAAAAAAAAAAAAACAUUACCUUUACAUCCCACUCUGACUAACAGGUGAUGAAUCAGCAGCCGCUUCACUUAUGUGCAAAUAAUUUUCAGUGAGGUUGCAGCCUAAAAAGGACUGCUGGGCUGCCUCUGGGGGCUUUAGGGCAGUGAGGGGGUCACAGCUGCACCCACCGCUCAUUCAGAGAAACCAUGCUUCACUUCAGACUCACCAAAAGUCUCCGAGAAUGCAACCAAAA